GACGAACGCUGGCGGCGUGCCUAAUACAUGCAAGUAGAACGCACAGUUUAUACCGUAGCUUGCUACACCAUAGACUGUGAGUUGCGAACGGGUGAGUAACGCGUAGGUAACCUGCCUGGUAGCGGGGGAUAACUAUUGGAAACGAUAGCUAAUACCGCAUAAUAUUAAUUAUUGCAUGAUAAUUGAUUGAAAGAUGCAACUGCAUCACUACCAGAUGGACCUGCGAUGUAUUAGCUAGUAGGUGAGGUAACGGCUCACCUAGGCGACGAUACAUAGCCGACCUGAGAGGGUGAUCGGCCACACUGGGACUGAGACACGGCCCAGACUCCUACGGGAGGCAGCAGUAGGGAAUCUUCGGCAAUGGACGAAAGUCUGACCGAGCAACGCCGCGUGAGUGAAGAAGGGUUUCGGAUCGUAAAGCUCUGUUGUAAGAGAAGAACGGGUGUGAGAGUGGAAAGUUCACACUGUGACGGUAUCUUACCAGAAAGGGACGGCUAACUACGUG
rnacentral:rRNA from 1 species